UUAAACUCUUUUUCAAAUGGCAACUCUUGCACAUCUUAUGCACAUCUCUGAUCCACCACAUUGUAUCCCCUCCAUCCCCCAAUUUUUGAUCAAAUGGAUGAUCAUUUGAUACUUUCAAAUCACUCCCUAUUGACCUCUUAUUUGAAUAGCAACUUAUGUUUCAUCAUAUCCAUCUCAAUCCUCUAUUCUUUUCUAUUAUCACAUUGACCUCAUGAAUUGAUGAUUUAUGUCACAAUAUUCAUCCUUGUGAGUAUUGGAAUACUUAACUCACCAUCCCAUCUACCUUGACAGGCUCAUGCAUUGUUGCAUGUGAUCAAUCCCAAUCCUUCCAAAAUUGAAUUCAAAUAAAAACUUCUAAUCAUCAAAUAUACCUUUGGGUCUAUUUUUCAUCUUUUGUUAGUCCCAACCAUAGUGGUAACAAUUAUCCUUGGAGUACAUGUCACCCUUCCCAUUAUUUCUAUCUAUAUGUAUCUACUUCUAUUUUUAUCAUCAUCAAAGUCACUCUUUGACAUUUUCUCCUCAACAUCAUGCACAUAUCUAUUCACAUGGAUGUUGUGCCUCUCCCUCACAUUGUUCACUUGUAUUUGGCAAGAAUGGAGCCGGCCAAUUAUGUUGGCAUGGCAAAAAUUUCGGCCAGCCCCUUCCUCUUCUUUUCCUUCCUCCACAAGCUUUGCCUCCCAACUACCCCAAUCACUAAAUGGGCAGCCACCCACCUUGGCCAAUCAAGUGAAGAGCUGCCACCACUCCCUCCCUCUAUAAAACCUCAUAGCCGGCCACCCCCUCCUCUCUUUGCUCUCAUUUUUCACUCCCCACUCCUUCCUCCACUCCCUCACACUCCUCUCAUACCUCUUACCCACGAGCUGCUGCUCCUCCCAAGCUCCAUGGCCGGCCAUGGCCAUGGAAAUCCACCUAGAUGAAGCUCCCCUCCUCCCUCAAGCUUCCCCUCACCAUUAGAGCCUCCCUCUCCUUCUUCUCCCCAACCCUAGAUGGUUUUCUCUCCUCUUCUUCUUCCUCCCUUGCUAAGAUUGGAUCUUGAUGCAGGUGCAUGUUGGUCCAAGCAUGGAGAAGCUUGAGCUAUCCUCAGAUCUGAAGUUCUUGAGCAAAAUCCAAAUCGAGUGAUUCAAAGUUCCGCAGAUAGGUAUUGAAAAGAUCUACAACUUGGCGUUGGUCUCAUCCUCAAAUUCGUUACGGAUUUUGCAUGAUCAAUAUCUGGUCAGAUCUGACUUUGUCGAAUUAAACCAGGAGCUUGGAAACGAAUUUUUGAAUGAAACCAAUUGGGAUGUUAUCUACCAGGGGAUAUUUCGUUUAUACCAUGGUGAUACCCGAGAAAGGCAAUUGCUAAGUUGUGAUACUCUCAUACCUUUACUAGAUGCGAACGAUUCCGGAGAAGAAGAAGAAGUGGUUCGGACAAGGAUUUUAUUUAUAUUGACGGGAUUCUUAUAUUGAUGAAGUUGAAGAAGUCCAGGGACAAAUAAGCCAAG